rnacentral:rRNA from 1 species
GACGAAGGGGGCUAGCGUUGUUCGGAAUUACUGGGCGUAAAGCGCGUGUAGGCGGUUGUUCAAGUCGGGGGUGAAAGCCUUGAGCUCAACUCAAGAAAUGCACUCGAUACUGGAUGACUAGAGGACCGGAGAGGAUAGUGGAAUUCCCAGUGUAGUGGUGAAAUACGUAGAGAUUGGGAAGAACACCAGUGGCGAAGGCGGCUAUCUGGACGGUUUCUGACGCUAAGACGCGAAAGCGUGGGGAGCAAACAGG